UUUAAUAUUCAAUCAAAGACUAAAAAGAUUUCCCCUCCACCAUGUUUAUUUUUGUAAAUUCAUAAAAUUUUGUUGCACUGUUAAGUGGAUUUAAGACAUCCCACGAAACAUAAAAUGGAGAAAAUGUGUCUUUUUAAUAUGUCUCAUAUUUGCUUUUCAAAUCCUUGCAUUUUUUUUCUUUUUUUUUUUUUUUUUACUUGUGUGUCAUGGGCGUCCAUCCAAAAUAAAAGCCUGUUAAAUUUCAUCCCUCUCACUUUCUCUCUCUCUCUCUCUCUCUCUCUCUCUCUCUCUGUCCUGAAAAACAGAGUGCAGAUGAGCGUUUAUCUUUCCCCUUUCUAAAUGCCACAAUCCCUGUUUGUUUUCUUUUCCAAAUGAAAAGCUAAAGGGAUUUAGGAUUCGCUGGGGCCGUGCCCUGCUGCUGCAAUGCGGUUUGGAUGGCAGCCCAAAAGCGGCUAAAUGUUGGCUCGGUGGUGGCAUCUGGGCAUCUGCCCUGCUCCUGGGUGGGCGGCGGAGCACCGGCAUGGGGGACAGCAUAGGGUAGAGGCUGGAUUGGGAUGGCACUGCAGCAUAUGGACGGACUGAGAUUGGGAUAGAGGGAAUACAGUUCCGGUUCUGGAGACAGAUCCAGGUUCAUGUUGUGUGUGUCUGUCUGAAAACGAGUGAUCCAGGAUCAUGCUGUCCUCUCGGUUGGAGGAUGAGAGAACAGACAGAGAAGCAGAUGACCACUCAGUGUCUGCUUUGGAGAUGGCAAGGAUGUGAGAAAAGGGUCCUCAGGGGGGAGCUCCACUUCCUCGCCACUUUUAUCAUCAUCUACCAACGGCUCCUGUGAUGGCAUGACUGGAUCCUGCAGAAAGAUAGAGAGAGAGGAGACAGACAAAAAGAUCAGUGACUCUGUCUGCUCUACCAGACACCUGAGUAUCAUCAGAUUAAUCGACUGUCAACAAACCCUCAGAAAAGAAGUCUUUUGAUAAUGGAUGUACAGUAAAGGAAGCUGGACAUGCUUUCUCUAGGCUCUGUUUUACAGCCCUGUGAUCGUGUCAUGAUCCGCAUGCUACUGAUGAGUUUUUAGACAGCAUUUCCUUACUAUAUGAGAAGAUAUUAACCUGCUGCAGUGAUUUCUCUGUUAUCUAUGGAGCCUCCAGCCCUGAUGAAUGACCUACAUUUUUCUUCUGCUUUCUGUCAGGUGCUCAAUUUAUAUAACUGAGGUUAAACACUCAGAAAUCAUGGUUUGAAAGUAUCACAAAGUAUCUAAAGCUUGAAGCUGGCAUCAAAAAAUAAACAUGUUCCUUAUGUUGCCAUCAAGUUGGAAAUUACCAUAUUUAUGAAAUGUACACACAAUAAUGUCACAACAAUGUCGUAAUAACAAGCGAGAAUGACAAAAUGUUCCAUGAGGCCUGAGUUUCCAAGUUGGGGGUGUCAAUUAAAGAAUCAUGGUGGAAGCUAAUGGGUAUUGGUCAUACUUAAAGCUGAAAUAUGUCA